UGCCAGCCGCCGCGGUAAUACGGAGGGUGCGAGCGUUAAUCGGAAUUACUGGGCGUAAAGCGCAUGCAGGCGGCUGAUUAAGCCAGAUGUGAAAGCCCCGGGCUCAACCUGGGAUGGUCAUUUAGAACUGGCAGACUAGAGUCUUGGAGAGGGGAGUGGAAUUCCAGGUGUAGCGGUGAAAUGCGUAGAGAUCUGAAGGAACAUCAGUGGCGAAGGCGACCUCCUGGACUGAUAUUGACGCUGAGGUGCGAAAGCGUGGGGAGCAAACAGGAUUAGAUA
rnacentral:rRNA from 1 species